CCUACGGGGGGCACCAGUGGGGAAUAUUGCACAAUAGGCGCAAGCCUGAUGCAGCCAUGCCGCGUGCGUGAAGAAGGCCUUCGGGUUGUAAAGCACUUUCAGCGGGGAGGAAGGCGUUAAGGUUAAUAACCUUGGCGAUAGACGUUACCCGCAGAAGAAGCACCGGCUAACUCCGUGCCAGCAGCCGCGGUAAUACGGAGGGUGCAAGCGUUAAUCGGAAUUACUGGGCGUAAAGCGCACGCAGGCGGUCUGUCAAGUCGGAUGUGAAAUCCCCGGGCUCAACCUGGGAACUGCAUUCGAAACUGGCAGGCUAGAGUCUUGUAGAGGGGGGUAGAAUUCCAGGUGUAGCGGUGAAAUGCGUAGAGAUCUGGAGGAAUACCGGUGGCGAAGGCGGCCCCCUGGACAAAGACUGACGCUCAGGUGCGAAAGCGUGGGGAGCAAACAGGAUUAGAUACCCCGGUAG
rnacentral:rRNA from 1 species